UAAGCAUAUCAAUAAGCGGAGGAAAAGAAACCAACAGGGAUUGCCUUAGUAACUGCGAGUGAAGCGGCAGAAGCUCAAAUUUGAAAUCUGUGUCCUUCCGGGCACCGAGUUGUAAUUUUGAGAUACGUUUUCGACCGACAGGCCUGCCUUAAGUUCCUUGGAACAGGACGUCACAGAGGGUGAGAAUCCCGUGAACGGUAGGCCUCGAGGCGCAUGAUACGUAUUCGACGAGUCGAGUUGUUUGGGAAUGCAGCUCAAAAUGGGUGGUAAAUUUCAUCUAAAGCUAAAUAUUGGGGAGAGACCGAUAGCGCACAAGUAGAGUGAUCGAAAGAUGAAAAGCACUUUGAAAAGAGAGUUAAAAAGUACGUGAAAUUGUUGAAAGGGAAGCGCUUGAGACCAGACUCAAUCUCCGUUGAUCAACUUCAGUUCUCUGUUGUGCACUCGGCGGCUUUUGGGACAGCAUCGGUUCCCGCGGAGGGACAAAGCCUCAGGAAAUGUGGCACCCUUCGGGGUGUGUUAUAGUCCUCCGGGCAAUGCCUCCAGCGGGGACCGAGGACCGCGCUCCGGCUAGGAUGCUGUCAUAAUGGUCUCCAGCGACCCGUCUUGAAACACGGACCAAGGAGUCUAACAUCUAUGCGAGUGUUCGGGUGGAAAACCCUUGCGCGUAAUGAAAGUGAACGGAGGUGGGAAUCGAAAGACGCACCAUCGACCGAUCCUGAAGUCUUCCGAAGGAUUUGAGUAUGAGCAUAGCUGUUGGGACCCGAAAGAUGGUGAACUAUGCCUGAAUAGGGUGAAGCCAGGGGAAACUCUGGUGGAGGCUCGCAGCGGUUCUGACGUGCAAAUCGAUCGUCAAAUUUGGGUAUAGGGGCGAAAGACUAAUCGAACCAUCUAGUAGCUGGUUCCUGCCGAAGUUU
rnacentral:rRNA from 1 species